AGUUUGAUCCUGGCUCAGGAUGAACGCUGGCGGCGUGCCUAACACAUGCAAGUCGAACGAAGCAUACACCACGGAAGCCUCCGGGCGGAAGAGGGGUAUGACUGAGUGGCGGACGGGUGAGUAACGCGUGGGCAACCUGCCCUGUACCGGGGGAUAACACCCAGAAAUGGGUGCUAAUACCGCAUAAGCGCACAGUGCCGCAUGGCACGGUGUGAAAAACUCCGGUGGUACAGGAUGGGCCCGCGUCUGAUUAGCUAGUUGGCAGGGUAACGGCCUACCAAGGCAGCGAUCAGUAGCCGGCUUGAGAGAGUGACCGGCCACAUUGGGACUGAGACACGGCCCAAACUCCUACGGGAGGCAGCAGUGGGGAAUAUUGCACAAUGGGGGAAACCCUGAUGCAGCGACGCCGCGUGAGUGAAGAAGUAUUUCGGUAUGUAAAGCUCUAUCAGCAGGGAAGAAGAUGACGGUACCUGACUAAGAAGCCCCGGCUAACUACGUG
rnacentral:rRNA from 1 species